rnacentral:misc_RNA from 1 species
CCCUCUUCCACUCUCUGCACAGAAACAUAGAGAACCCAGUGGGACAGCACUCACUGUGAUGGUAGUUUAGCAACCAGUCCUAUUUACUCCAUCCGGAUACUAUGGGAUCUUCAGUGGAACCCAUAGCAUUUCACAUACCCAUGGAUGGUUUUCUGACCUUUGGAACCACGGAAUUCAAUUCAGGAUCGGACAAGUCUAGAGGUCACAGAAGCGAACAUAUGAAGUUUUCAGGCGUGGGCA